CGCCCUUCCUACGGGGGGCAGCAGUCGGGAAUAUUGGUCAAUGGGGGAAACCCUGAACCAGCAAUGCCGCGUGAGUGAUGAAGGUUUUCGGAUCGUAAAGCUCUGUCUUUGGGGACGAAUAAAUGACGGUACCCGAGGAGGAAGCCCCGGCUAACUACGUGCCAGCAGCCGCGGUAAUA
rnacentral:rRNA from 1 species